CUACGGGAGGCAGCAGUGAGGAAUAUUGGACAAUGGGCGCAAGCCUGAUCCAGCCAUGCCGCGUGCAGGAAGAAGCAUCUAUGGUGUGUAAACUGCUUUUGUACGGGAAGAAACACUGCUACGUGUAGCAGCUUGACGGUACCGUAAGAAUAAGGAUCGGCUA
rnacentral:rRNA from 1 species